UAAGGAAUAUUGGUCAAUGGGCGCAAGCCUGAACCAGCCAUGCCGCGUGCAGGAAGACGGCCCUACGGGUUGUAAACUGCUUUUAUACCGGAAUAAACCUUCGUUCGUGAACGGAGCUGAAUGUACGGUAAGAAUAAGGAUCGGCUAACUCCGUGCCAGCAGCCGCGGUAAUACGGAGGAUCCAAGCGUUAUCCGGAUUUAUUGGGUUUAAAGGGUGCGUAGGCGGCCAAUUAAGUCAGGGGUGAAAGACGGUAGCUUAACUAUCGCAGUGCCUUUGAUACUGAUUGGCUUGAAUGUACUUGAGGUAGGCGGAAUGUGACAAGUAGCGGUGAAAUGCAUAGAUAUGUCACAGAACACCAAUUGCGAAGGCAGCUUACUAAAGUAUGAUUGACGCUGAGGCACGAAAGCGUGGGGAUCAAACA
rnacentral:rRNA from 1 species